AACGAACGCUGGCGGCAUGCCUAACACAUGCAAGUCGAACGAGACCUUCGGGUCUAGUGGCGCACGGGUGCGUAACGCGUGGGAACCUGCCCUUAGGUUCGGAAUAACUCCCCGACAGGGGUGCUAAUACCGGAUAAUGUCUUCGGACCAAAGAUUUAUCGCCUUUGGAUGGGCCCGCGUUGGUUUAGCUAGUUGGUAGGGUAAAAGCCUACCAAGGCGACGAUCCAUAGCUGGUCUGAGAGGAUGAUCAGCCACACUGGGACUGAGACACGGCCCAGAAUCCUACGGGAGGCAGCAGUGGGGAAUAUUGGACAAUGGGCGAAAGCCUGAUCCAGCAAUGCCGCGUGAGUGAUGAAGGCCUUAGGGUUGUAAAGCUCUUUUACCCGGGAUGAUAAUGACAGUACCGGGAGAAUAAGCUCCGGCUAACUCCGUG
rnacentral:rRNA from 1 species